UACAGAGGUCCCAAGCGUUGUUCGGAUUCACUGGGCGUAAAGGGUGCGUAGGUGGUUGGGAAAGUUUGAUGUGAAAGCUCGGAGCUUAACUCCGAAAUGGCAUUGAAUACUUCUUAACUUGAGGGUCGGAGGGGAGACUGGAAUUCUCGGUGUAGCAGUGAAAUGCGUAGAUAUCGAGAGGAACACCAGUGGCGAAGGCGAGUCUCUGGACGACUCCUGACACUGAGGCACGAAAAGCUA
rnacentral:rRNA from 1 species